KGCCAGCAGCCGCGGUAAUACGGAGGAUGCAAGCGUUAUCCGGAAUCAUUGGGCGUAAAGCGUCCGCAGGUGGUUAAUCAAGUCUGCUGUUAAAGACAGAAGCUCAACUUCUGAUAGGCAGUGGAAACUGGUAAACUAGAGUACGGUAGGGGUUGAGGGAAUUCCCAGUGUAGCGGUGAAAUGCGUAGAUAUUGGGAAGAACACCAGUGGCGAAGGCGCUCAACUGGGCCGUAACUGACACUCAGGGACGAAAGCUAGGGUAGCGAAAGGGAUUAGAUACCCUGGUAGUCC
rnacentral:rRNA from 1 species